AUUAAGCAACUGGUCCAUGGCCACUCAUGAAGUAAAUGUCUAAGGCAAGAUUCAACCUCAAAUAUUCCUGACUCCAAGAUGUGCAGCGUUCUGGUCACUGUUAUUCUGCCUCUAAAUCUAAAAUGUGCCUUAAGAAGGAAAUUCUUUCCAGAUAUUCUUUCAUAAGAGUGGAUUCCUAGCACGACAGUCUGCGCAACACAGCCAGCAAGUUACAAGACCACAUAAGCCACCCAUCUUUGCUCCUGGAGGGAUAGAAAGAGCGUGAGCGUCAGGGCUUCACUUGUCCCUGUGCGUAAGACGAAGAGACGUAACGCAUGCGCAAAGCUACUGGGGCUAGGGGCAAGAAGGUUUCUCGGCUGCUCUUGGACAACUUGCCGCAGGUUUGGCUAAAACAUGGCAUCUCUAUUUGUAAAGAAAAUGAUGGUUAUGAUCACCAGUCCUCUUCUCCAUGUGAGCAGAUAUUCAGCUAAACCUUCCUCAGUCUCUGCGUUUCUGUUUUCAUCGCAACAAAAUACACUUCCCUUAGAUGCUGGUCCUGUGAAGUUUAGCACAAUAACUCAUCCAUUUCUUUCCCGUUAUCUGCUAAGACCCUUUCAGCCUAUUCUUGGGUUCAAAACAAAAGCUGUUCUAAAGAAGCGCUGUAAGGACUGUUAUUUUGUAAAAAGGCGUGGAAGAUGGUUUGUAUAUUGUGCCACAAAUCCAAGACACAAGCAACGACAGUUGAAGUCUGAUUACUGAAAUGAAGUGCAAAAUACCAUCUAUCAUUUAGAAAUUGGCAGAAACAAAAACCAAAACAACUGGAGCCAGUCAAAUGUUGGCAAUAAUACCAUUAAAUAACAAUAUCAUGAA